GUAGGUGGCAAUCGUUGUCCGGAAUUAUUGGGCGUAAAGCGCGCGCAGGCGGUCCUUUAAGUCUGAUGUGAAAGCCCACGGCUCAACCGUGGAGGGUCAUUGGAAACUGGGGGACUUGAGUACAGAAGAGGAAAGCGGAAUUCCAAGUGUAGCGGUGAAAUGCGUAGAGAUUUGGAGGAACACCAGUGGCGAAGGCGGCUUUCUGGUCUGUAACUGACGCUGAGGCGCGAAAGCGUGGGGAGCAAACAGGGAUUAGAUACCCUGGUAGUCCACGCCGUAAACGAUGAGUGCUAAGUGUUAGGGGGUUUCCCGCCCCUUAGUGCUGCAGCUAACGCAUUAAGCACUCCGCCUGGGGAGUACGGCCGCAAGGCUG
rnacentral:rRNA from 1 species